GCCUUUACAAAUCACUUAUCUACAAUGAAAUGUUUGGCAUCUAGUAUUAGCAACCCAACACCACAAUUCUCUUCCAUAAUUCCAUACUACCAAUAUUUGCAAAACAUUCCAAAAACCAACUUGAACAAUAGGUUUAUGUGUGUAUAUAUAUAUAAUCAUCAUUUCAAUACCACAUCAUCAAUACCACAUCAUCACCCCAAAUUCCUUCACAAUUUAACAUAAUCCAACCAUGCACAAGAAUAAUCCAACAUCAUUUCCAAUCAUCUUUCAACAACAAUCAAAUAACAUACUUCUUAUGCUCACAUGCAUAUAUAUAUAUAUACAUAUCCAUAUAAAUAACACCAACAUAAUUUACAUCCUUACCAAAAAAAUGGCCCUUUUGAUUUCGAAGUCCUGUUGGCACAAAUAAGGGGUGCUUCUCGAAGCCCUUGAGACGGUGAACACAACUACGGAAUCAAUUUGGAUUUUCUACGGUUGAAUCACAAGAUAAUUGGAGUUGAAAUUUGGCUAGGGUUUCUUAGUUUUCAAUAAUGGAUGAUAAAUAAUGGAUAUGAGGCUAAGUAUAUGUAUAUAAUGACCAAUUUUCGUUCAAGAGGUGAUGGAAAAUGACCAUAUUGCCCUUAAAAAUUUAAGUAAAUCCGAAUCUGUCCAUGGUGGACUGUUUUGAUAGGCUAAAGUAAAUCGGCCAUAACUCUUUGCUCCGAUAUCGGAUUUGGGUGAAAUUGGUAUCGUUGGAAAGAUAAUCUAAAGGUAUUUCAUUUAAUAUAAAGUAGGCCACCCAGUUCGUCCUGUACAAGAAGUUAUGAUCGUUUGAAGUUGACCCUAAAAAUCUGUUUUGAGAGGCUGAAGUAAAACGAGUAUAACUCCUUACUCAGAUGUUGGAUUUGGAUGAAACCAAUUUCAUUGGAAAGAAGACUCAAAGAUCUUUAUAGGUGGCAUCUCUCCCAGUUCAUUAUAUUAAGGGAGUUAUGAUCGUUCAAAUUUGACACAAAAAAAUGGCUGACCUCAGUAGUUUGUGUGCAGGAAAUUUUCCUGCACAUUUACUAUUCCCAAUAUCCCAGCCACCGUUUUAUAGUUUCGAACGUGCUCGAUUAUAUACGAAACCUAUCCGUUUUUGGAAAUCUUUAUAUCGUUGGAAAUCUUAUUCAAUAACCUUCGUAUGGAACCAUCGACGGGCAAAUUUCGAUAUAAAUAAAAUAAAAUAAAAUUAAUUCCAUAUAAAUAAGACCAAUACACGUACUUGAAUACGCCAAUAUAUGUACUUGAAUACGGGGUGUUACAUUUUUAUACUUGAUACAUUUAAUAUAUUGAUUAUGAUACAAACAUCUAAUUUUGUCGAUAUAUUAGAUUCUAUAUUAUACAUACUAAAAUUUGUAUGUGAUUUGAGUUUGUUUACACCUAAUACAUUCAACAUACUUAGUAUGAUACAUAGGUAUGAUAUAUAACAUUAUUUAUGAUAAGAUGAGACUAGGCAUCAGUGUUGUGAACCAACACCCAUUUGAUGUUGAAUACGUAGAAGACAUGGCAUAGCAAGCUAGUGAAAAUUUGUAAGUAUCUCUUCACAAGUUUAUCUAUGUACAAAGAAUAAAACUGAAUGUCAUCUUUGAGCAUUUUCUAACUAUAGAAUCAUUCAUGUUCAGGGACUAUGGAGAUUUUGUGGCAAUUUUUGCUGAGUUUCUUAGCGAUCGAAUGUCAAUUCCCUCAUCAUAUUUUGAUGCUGAAUAUCAUCGAAAGAGAUAUGCAACAUUUUUAUGAAACUAUGGAGUCAAGAAUGCAAAUAAGUAUAUAUUAGCGACAAUGAUGCCUCUGACCGAUGAUUCCGUUAUUGUUGCCAUAGAGUAGAUACUAAAUUUUUGUCAGAUAUGUUCUAAAUAGUAUUUUGUAUAUUAUUUUAGACGCAAGUAUUAUUUUUAUUUUGAAUACUAAGUUAACCACUGUUAUUUUUUUUUUUUGGAUCAAUUAAAGUUGUUGGAUGUUCUACUCACUAUUUACUUUUCUUUUGUCAUCACAUGUAAUUCUAUAUAACAGAUAUAGAAUAAAAUUGUUGAAUAGUACUUCAAAAUGUUCAAGUUCUUAAUUGAAAUGUAACUGGUACUUUAUUUGGUUUCAAAAUACUUUAACAUAUUAAUGUAUUAGAAAUAUUAAGAAUUAAUUAAAAAUGUAUCAUUAUAUGUUAUAAGUUUCUUCUACUGAUUUUGUAUUUUCAAAAUAUUUUGCUUAUACACUGCAUAUACAAAAAUAUACAUAUAUUAUAUUAAUAUAUCAAACCAUAAUAUUAUAAUAGAUAACUAAUACAUAAAUAGAUGUAAAUUUAUGUAUUUACUAUAAAUACUAGCAAUGUAUUAUAUUUCACAGUACGAUGUAUCAUAAUUUUGACAUUAUGUCAAUUUUGGUCACUUAAUAAUCGAUACUUACAAGUUUGUAAUCUAUCCGUUAAAAUCUUAAUAUAUAAAAGUUUACAUAUUUCUUAUAAAGUUAUGUAUCAUUUUAUAAUUGUUAUUUGUUUGAAGAAAACAUUGAUGUAUCAUAGUCAUAUUUAAUGAAUAAAAUCAUAUUAACAUGGUGCACCUUUCAUGAAAUAGCAUAAAACUCAUUUAAACAACAAAAAAAACCUAUGUAAAGUAAUAUACUACUUAAAAAACAAGAUUAAAUAUUAAAUAAAUAUAAAAUAAAUUGAACACGUUAAAUCAUUAAAAAAUAAACACUCAUUCAAUUUUAACAUUGUUUAAACAUUACUCAACGCUAGCCAAACCAAAAUCAAACCAACAUAAAUGAAAAUAAGUUAAAAUACCAAUAUAUUAACAUAAAAAAAUUUUCAACAUUUUUUUUUUUAAAUACUAUUCAUUGUUAAAAAAACAUAAUUAGUAAUGCAUUAUAAUAACCAAUAACACUAUUCUACUCAUCGUUUCCUAUAAUAUUAGUUUUCGUGUACACUAAAACUGUCAUAACCAGUAAUGUAUCAUAUUACUACAGCAAAGAACAUCAACCAACAAAUAACAGUAGCUAAAUGUAUCAAAAAAAAAUAUAAUAUCAGAAAAUGAUACAUAAACAAAAUAUCAACAUGUAGAUUUUAAAAACCUGAUACAAUAUUAAAAAAAUAUGAUGAGAAGUGUACCAUACAAAUCAAAAAUACUAUUCUAUUAAUCGUCUCUUAUGAAACUAACGUAUCAUAUAAAACAUCUACUCCCUUCGUUUAAAAAAGAUUGACCUACUUUGACUUGGCACAAAGUUUAAGAAAAUAAAGAAGACUUUUGAAUCUUGUGGCCUUAAAUUAAAGUUAUGUCAAAUGUACCAAAAUGUCCUUUAAUCUCGUGGUCCUAAACAUGCUAUGUGGAAAGUUGAAAUUAAAGUAUUGCCAAAAAAGGAAAGGGGUCAAUCUUUUCGAAACAAACAAAAAAGGAAAGUAGGUCAUUCUUUUUGAAACGAAGCGAGUAUAAUUUAUUAAAAGUGUGAAGACCUUUAGAAAAGUGAUUUGAAUUUUUUGUCCUUCAUUAAAAGACCCUUCUUUAGACAAAACUGUAUUUUUACUAUUUUCUUUAAUUUAUUAUUUCAUUAUUUUUAUUAUAUUAACUAGACUCCUAAAAUAUAUAGGACUCCUAAAAUAUAUGAAAGGAGAAUCAACUAAUAUUUUUCAUCAAUUAGAAAAAUACUCCUAAAAUAGGAUAGAAAAAUACUCCUAAAAUAGGACUCUAUUAAGAAAAUACUUCUAUAAAUAUUGAGAUGCACGUUAAACUACCGAAGAAAUCAAUUUACUUAUUAGGAAAUAUAAUUGAAGCUCAUCUAACUUAAUUCGGUUGUAUGUCUAGAUUGGUGGAUGCUUAAUUUUUUAACCCUCAACUUCUAUGUUGGUCAACUUUUAAGAAUUUAUUUAGGUAAAGAUUAGGUUUAAUUGUAUUGUUUUUAUAUCUCUAUUUUGAGAAUUUUUUUUGUGUAAAGGCUAAGUUUGGUUUGUGUUAUUUUGAUAUUUCUAUUAUCGUAUUGUAUCAGACAGCUUUGAGAAUUUUUUUUGUGUAAAAGUUAAAUUUAAUUAUAUUAUUUUGAUAUUUCUAUCAUCGUAUUAUUUUGUUGCAGUUUACAGGUUAUAGAUGGAUGCUGAUCGGCUUUGAUAAAUUUUUUUGGUAAACAUUAGGUUUAAUUAAAUAAAUUCUCCAAAAGAUGUUAAAUUUAAUUAUUGUAUCUAUCUUUGUUAUUUAGACAAAUAUCCUAUUUAGUGUAAUGUUUGAACUCAACAAAGUGAGGUACACGCGCAAGGUACAUACACCUAAACUAGUAUUAAAAAACAUAUGAAAUUCGUUUUUUCAUAUGUAAUUGAACUAUUAUAAGCAGUAAUGUAUCAUAUUACAACACCAAUAUACCAUCAUUCGAGCUACAUUACAAAUUCGAAAACAUUAUUCUUGAACUCAACAUAAAACUUUACUUCAUUGUCGUUGCAAAUCAUCAUUGGCGAUGAAUUUUCUUCGACAAUGUAUCUGACGUUGAUUUUUUUCUUGAUUAAUCAAAACCAAAUUUGAUUGCGAUUUGAAAUCAAUCUAAAAAACGAAAUACUUUCUCCAACAACAAUUUCAUUACUUUUGUUCAUAUUAAAGUUUAUUCAUCCAAACACUGUAAAAUUUCAACAAAAUGGAGAUGUUCAUAACGUAUUCAAAUGGCACUGCCCACCCAAACAGACCACACUAGGCUGCUCCCCAGCCUCUUUGAUACGCCUCGAUCAAUUCUUGGCCCAUUUCACACCCGGACCUCGGCACACUCCUGGAACCGUGGGCUAUAACACACUGAUUUUGCCCAUAAAUGUCCCGUUUGCACCAUUUCGUCCGUUUGACCAAACAAAUGGCCCCGCACACCCAAAUGGAACACACUAGGCCACUCCCCAACCUCCUUGGCACGCCUCGAUCGAUUUUUGGCCCAUUACACGCCCGAACCCCGGGCAUACCCCCGAAACCGUGGGCUAUAGCAUACCAAUUUGACCAAAAAAUGCCCCGUUUGCACCAUUUUGCUUGUUUGACCACCCAAAUGGCUCCGCCCACCCAAACAGACCACACUAAGCUUCUUUAUAGCCUCUCUGGAAUGCCUCAGCCAAUUUUUGGCAAUUUCAGGCCGGGACCUCAGGCAGAUCCCCAGAACCGUGGGCUAUAGCACAUCGAUUUGACCUGAAAAUACCUCGUUUGCAUCAUUUUGCCCGUUUGACCAUCAAAUGGCCCCGCCCAUCGAAACGUACCACACUAGGCUGCUCCCUAAUUUCCCUGACUGACUCGGUUGAUUUUUGGCCUAUUUCACGCUCGGACUCCGGGCACACCCCUGGAACCAUGGCAAUAACAUACCGAUUUGGCCCAAAACUAUACCACAUCGAUUUGGCCUGAAAUGUCCCUUUAGUACAAUUUUGCUCGUUUGACCACCCAAAUGGCCCCGCCCACUCAAACAGACCACACUAGGCCGCUCCUGAGCCUCCCUGACACGCCUCAAUCGAUUUUUAGCCCAUUUCAUGCCCGGACCUCGGCAACACCCCCGAAAUUAUGGCCUAUAACACAUCGAUUUGGCUCGAAAAGGCCUUAUUUGUACCAUUUUGCCCGUUUGAAUACCCAAAUGGCCUCGCCCAACCAAACGGACCACACUAGGUUGCUCUCAGCCUCCUGGCACGUCUCGGUCGAUUUUUGGCCCAUUUCACGCUCGGACCCCAGGCACACCCUCGGAACCAUAGGCUAUAACACACCAAUUUGGCUCGAAAAUGCCCCGUUUACAUCGAUUCAUCUGUUUGACAACCCAAAUAGCCCCACCCAUCCAAACGGACCACACUAAGCCGCUUUUGUUUAACCACCUAAAUGACACCGCCCACUCAAACGGACCACACUAGGCAGCUCCCUGGCACAUCUCGAUUGAUUUUUGGCCCAUUUCACGCAUGGGCCCCAGGAAAACUCCCGCAACCGUGAGCUAUUGCACACCGAUUUAACCCAAAAAUAUUCCAUUUGCACCAUUUCGCCCAUUUGACCACCCAAAUUGCCCCGCCUACCCAAACGGACCGCACUAGACUAGCUCCCUAGUUUUCCUGGCAUGUCUCGUUCAAUUUUUGGCCCAUUUCAUGCCCGGACCCAGGCACACCCCCUGAACCGUGGGCUAUAGCACACGCCCGUUUGCACCAUUUCACUUGUUUGACCACCCAAAUGGCCCUACCUACCCAAAUGGACCACACUAGGCUGCUUUUCAGUCUCUGUGGCAUGCCUCGAUCGAUUUUUGGCUGGCACACCCCCGAAACCAUGGAUUAUAUAGCACACUGAUUUGGCCCAAAAAUGUCUUGUUUACAGCGUUUCACCCGUUUGAUGACCCAAAUGGUGUCGCCCACUCAAACGGACCAUACUAGGCCGCUCCCCAACCUCCCUGAAAUGCCUUGAUUAUUUUUUAGCCCAUUUUACGCCUGGAUCCUGGGCACACCCCUAGAACCAUAGGUUAUAGUACACCAAUUUAGCUCGAAAAUGCCCCAUUUUCCCCAUUUGACCACCCAAAUGGCCUUGCCCUCCCAAACGGACCACACUAGGCCGCUCCCCAACCUCCCUGGAAUGCCUCGAUAAAUUUUUUGCCCAUUUCAUCUCGGACCCUGGCAACACCCCGGAAUCGAUGGCUAUAGCACACCGAUUUGGUUUAAAAAUGCCCCGCUUGCACUAUUUUGCCCGUUUGACCACCCAAAUGGCCCCGCCAAUAUAAAUAGACCACACUAGGAUGCUUCCUAGCCUCUCUAGCACACCUUGAUCAAUUUUUGACCUAUUUCACGCCCGAACCUCGGGUAUAACCCCGGAACCGUGGGCUAUAACACACUGAUUUGGCCUGAAAAUGCUCCAUUUAUAUCAUUUUGCCCGUUCGACCUCGCCCAUCCAAAUGAACCACACUAGGCCAAUCCUCAGCCUCCCUAGCAUACCUUGGUCGAUUUUUGGCCCAUUUCACGCUCGAAUCGUAGGCUAUAGACACUAAUUUGGCCCGAAAAUACUCUGUUUGCACCUUUUGCACGUUUGACCACCUAAAUGGUCCCGCCCACCCAAACAGACCAUACUAGGACGCUCCUCAGCCUCCCUGCCAUGCCUCAGUCAAUUUUGGCCCAUUUCACGCCCGAACUCGUGCACACCCUCGGAACCGUAGGCUAUGACACCCCUAUUUGGCCCAAAAAUGCUCCAUUUGCACCGUUUUGCCCGCUAGACCACCCAAAUGGCCCCGCACACCCAAACGAACCACACUAGACUGCUCCCUAGCCUCUCUGGCACACCUCAGUCAAUUUUUAGCCCAUUUCACGCCCAGACCCUACGUACACCCCCAGAACUGUGCGUUAUAUUACACCAAUUUGGCCUGAAAAUGCCCCGCUUGCACCCUUUCACCCGUUUGACCAACUAAAUGGCCCCGCCCACCCAAACGAACCUUACUAGGUUGCUCCCCAUCCUACCUGGCACACCUUGGUCGAUUUUUUGCCCAUUUCAUGCCUGGACCCUAGGCACACCCUCGGAACCGUGGGCUAUAACACAUCGAUUUGACCUAAAAAAUGCAUCGUUUGCUCUGUUUUGCCCGUUUGACCAUCCAAAUGGCCCCGCCCACCGAAACGGACCACACUAGGCUGUUCCCCAGCCUCCUUGGUAUACCUCAAUUGAUUUUUGGCCCAUUUCACUCCCGGACCCAAGCCACAUCCCCAGAACCAUGGGCUAUAGCACACCUAUUUAGCCUAAAAUGCUCCGUUUGCACCGUUUUAUCCGUUUGACCACCCAAAUGACCCCGCCUACGCAAAUGGACCACACUAGGAUGCUCCCCAGCCUUCCUAGCACACCCCCAAAACUGUAAGCUAUAGCACACCAGUUUGGCCUAAAAAUAUUCCUUUAUCACCAUUUCGACCGUUUGACCACCCAAAUGGCCCCGUCCACCCAAACGAACAACACUAGGAUGCUGCUCCCUAGGCUCCCUAACACGCCUCGGUCAAUUUUUAGCCUAUUUUACGUUCGUACCCCGAGCACACCCCCAAAAUCGUGGGCUAUAGCACAUCGAUUUGGCUUGAAAACACCCCAUUUGCACCGUUUCAGCGGUUUGACCACCCAAAUGGCCGCCCACCCAAACGGACCAUACUAGGCCGCUCCCUAGCCUCUCUGACACGCCUUAGUUAAAUUUUGGCCCAUUUCAUACCUGGACCAAAACUGUGGGCUAUAGCACACCGAUUUGGCCUGAAAAUGGCCCAUUCGUACCGUUUCGCCCGUUUGACUAUCCAAAUGGUCCCACCAACCCAAUUGACCCACACUCACCCACUCCUCAGCCAGUUGGGGGACCUUCAAUCGAUUUUUGAUGCAAAACUCACCUUGGCAUCGGGCUCACCCCCAGAACCAUGGGUUAGCAUACGAAUUUGGCCCGUAAAUGGACCGUUCGCGCUGUUUUACUCGUUUGUACACCCAAAUAGCCCCCACCGACCUAACCAACCCACACUCUCCCACUCUUUAGCCAAUCGAAAGGCCCACUGCCGUUUUAUGGCAUAAAACACACGUGGGCCCUAGGCCUACCACCAGAACUGUGAGCUAUAAAUCACAUAUUUGGCUCGAAAAUGGCCCGUUCAUUCCAUUUCGCCAGUUUGAUCACUCAAAUAGCCCCGCUGACCCAACCGACCUACACUCACCCACUCCUCAGCCAGCUAGGGGCCUUUGGUUGAUUUUUAGUCCAAAAUUCAUCCGAGUCAACCCCCUAAAACGUAAGCUAUAACACAUCGAUUUGGUCCGAAAAUGACCCGUUCAUGCUGUUUCGCCCGUUUUACCACCCAAAUGACCCCGCCGACCCAACCAGCUAUACUUACUCACUCCUCAGCCAACCGAGGGGCCUUCGAUCGAUUUUCAACCUAAAACUCACCCUAGCUAUGGGCUUACCCCGAGAAUCUUGGGCUACAGCACACCAAUUUGGUUUGAAAUGGCUCGUUCACACUGUUUUUCCCAUUUGUCCACCUAAAUGGCCCCGCCGACCCAACCGGCCCACACUCACCAAAUCUUCAUCCAGCCAUGGGGCCUUCAAUCAAUUUUUGACACAAAACACCCGGGCCCCAAGCCCACCCCUAGAACCGUGGGCUAUAUCACACUAAUUUGGACCAAAAAUGGUCCGUUCGCGUCGUUUCUCUCGUUUGACUGCCUAAAUGGCCCCACCGACGCAAUCGGUCUACACUUACUCGCUCCUCAGCCAUCCAGGGGGCCUUCAGUCGAUUUUUGCCCAAAUCUCACUUGUGCCUUGGGCCCACCCCAAGAAUCGUGGGCUAGCAUAUUGAUUUAGCCCGAAAAUGAUCCAUUUGAGCCAUUUCGCCCAUUUGACCACCCAAAUGGCCCCGUCGACCCAAUCGACCCAUACUCACCCUCACCUCAGCCAUCGGGGGUCUCCGAUUGAUUUUUGACCUAAAACUCAACUCGGGUCUUGGUCCUACCUCUAAAAACAUGGGCUAUAGCAUACCGAUUUGGCUCGAAAAUGGCCCGUUCCCGCCGUUUUGCCUGUUUGACCACCCAAAUGGCCUAGCCGAUCCAAAUAGCCCACACUCACCCACUCCUCAGCCAGCCAGCGGCCUAUGAUCUAUUUUUGGCCCAAACCUCACUGGUCCCUGGCCCACCCACGGAACCGUGGGCUAUAACACACAAAUUUUGCUAAAAAAUGGUGCGUUUAUCGUUUGACCACCUAAAUGGCCCUGUCAACCCCUUCGACCUACACUCAUCUGCUCCCCAGCCAGCCUGGAGGCCUUUGGUCGAUUUUUAACCCAAAACUCACCUGGGCCUACCCCCGGAACUGUGGGCUAUAGCACACUGAUUUGGCUUAAAAAUGGCCUGUUCAUGCCGUUUCGCCCAUUUGACCACCCAAAUGUCCUCACCGACCCAAUUGACCCAUACUCACUCGCUCCUCAGCCAGUCGGGGAGCCUCCGGAUAAUUUUCUUCCCAAAACUCACUCAGGCUCCGAGCCCACCCCUAAAAUCAUAGGCUAUAGCACACUGGUUUGGCUUGAAAGUGGCCCGUUUAUGCCAUUUCGCCUGUUUGACUACCAAAAUGACCCCGUCGAUCCAACCAGCCCACACUCACCCGCUCCUCGCCAGUCGCGGGCCUCCAAUCGAUUUUCAGCCCAAAACUCACUCGAUCCCCGGGCCCACCCCUGGAACCGUAGGCUAUAGCACACUGAUUUGGCUCGAAAAUAGCCCGUUGCACCGUUUCACCCAUUUGACAAUCGAAAUGGCCCCGCCGACCCAACUGACCCACCCUUACCCGCUCCUCAGCCAGCCUUGGGGCCUCCGAUCUAUUUUCGACCCAAUACUCACCCAUGCCCCGAGCCCACCCCCAGAACCGUGGGUUAUAUCAUACCGAUUUGGCCCAAAAAUGACUCAUUCGUGUCGUUUCGCCCGUUUGACCACUCAAAUAGCCCCACCAGCCCAACCGGACCACACUCACCCGCUCCUCAGCCAACCGGGAUCCUCCAAUCGAUUUUCGGCCCCAAACUUACCUGAGCCCCAAGUCCACCCCAGAACCGUGGGCUAUAGCACACCGAUUUGACCUGAAAAUGGUUCUUUCUCGCCGUUUCGCCCGUUUUUCCUUUUAUUCGUAAUUUUCUAUAAAAGAAAGUAUCAAAAUUAAGUAAAAAAGUUAGUCAAGAAAAAGUCUUACUGCGUGCCCCUCUAGGAUUGAACCCUUGUACUUGAGGGAAAAAAACAAUUUUCUAGAGUCAAACGCAAGACCACUAGGCUAAGUUGGCCUUGUGUUUAAAUGUAAACACUUUUUAAAUUUUAUAUUGUUCACCUAUGCUAUCUACCUCAUUUUAGAAAAUUGACUUUCAAAUGUUGAAAUUGACAUUCACAUCCGCCUUACCAUGCUAUUUUUAUCUUCAAAUCGUUUACUUUUCAUCACUUUUUUGGCUAAAGAAGAAUGAAAAUUUCGUACCGAAUUGGGAGAAAGUGGAGAUUGAAUGGGAUAAAGCCAUUUUUUAGAAAAUCGGCUCGACCAUUUUUUAGGUUCAUAUAUAGUUCUGUUUCUUUGUUUUAUGUAACCCUCUUUGCAUUGUGCUGCUGCUGGCCAUGUGAAGCUUGUUUUGACUAAAACCUUUGGUGAUAUGACUCAUCUAAAGGAAUCAACUGGUGUUUGUCUAUUCAACUAGAAAUGCAAUAGCUACAACUAAAAAAGUGUCUUCUGGGGAGGGUGGAGGGUAGAUUGUACGUAGACCUUAACCCUAUCUUAGAGGUAGAAAGGUUAUUUUUGCUAGACCCUUGUCUCAAAAAAAAAAAAACAGUCCACAAAAAUCCCGAAAAAGAAGUAAUGGAAGUACAAGAAACAACAGAUAUAAUAACCAAAAUAGUAGAUAGUAAUAGAAAGGAAAUGACAACAAAACAAUACAAUCGGACAAUAUACACACAACUUAGAAAAGCAUUCUCUACGAGAACUUGUCUGCAGUAGAACAUGAAAUGGAGGUUCAACUAAGAAACCAAAAGUAUACCAGUUCAGAAUUAGUCACCUCAUUCAAAAAUACUACAAGCCUACCUUGAAGAAGGGAAAUCUAGCAACUGUAAGUGCAACCAAUUCAGCAUUAGUCCUGAUGCGGCUGGUUACUAGCAAUUUAGAAAUCCACAACUCCUUCGUGUAAAUGUCAUACUUGCAUACGGAUCUUGUGUCCUUGCCCUUGUCGUCCUGCCACAGAAAGAGCAAAAAACAAUUGUCAGCGCAAGCGUGAAAUGUUAUUAGCUUGAGAUCCAUUGAUGGUGUCAAGAAUUGCAGCUUGAUGAUGCGCUUUGUUUCAGCUCAUUUCUACUUUGUAUGAUCGUCUAAUGCCAAUACAUGGAGUUCAUCGUUAGUAGCUGAGCAAACAAGAGGCAGCCAUUCCAGUCCAAGAUAGUGGUGCUCAUGCUCAAUUUUGAGAAGAAACUUGCUCU
rnacentral:lncRNA from 1 species